UACGUAGGGGUGCAAGCGUUGUCCGGAAUUAUUGGGCGUAAAGAGCUCGUAGGCGGUCUGUUGCGUCGGCUGUGAAAACCCGGGGCUCAACUCCGGGCCUGCAGCCGAUACGGGCAGACUAGAGUUCGGCAGGGGAGACUGGAAUUCCCGGUGUAGCGGUGAAAUGCGCAGAUAAUCAGGAGGAACACCGGUGGCGAAGGCGGGUCUCUGGGCCGAUACUGACGCUGAGGAGCGAAAGCGUGGGGAGCGAACAGG
rnacentral:rRNA from 1 species